rnacentral:rRNA from 1 species
ACGGAAGGCAGCAGUGGGGGAUCUUGCACAAUGGGGGAAACCCUGAUGCAGCGACGCCGCGUGAGUGAUGAAGGAUUUCGGUAUGUAAAGCUCUAUCAGCAGGGAAGAAAAUGACGGUACCUGACUAAGAAGCACCGGCUAAAUACGUGCCAGCAGCCGCGGUAAUACGUAUGGUGCAAGCGUUAUCCGGAUUUACUGGGUGUAAAGGGAGCGUAGACGGCAUAGCAAGCCAGAUGUGAAAUGCGGGGGCUCAACCCCUGAACUGCAUUUGGAACUGUUGAGCUAGAGUAUAGGAGAGGUAAGUGGAAUUCCUAGUGUAGCGGUGAAAUGCGUAGAUAUUAGGAGGAACACCAGUGGCGAAGGCGGCUUACUGGACGAUAACUGACGCUGAGGCUCGAAAGCGUGGGGAGCAAACAGGAUUAGAUACCCUGGUA